rnacentral:rRNA from 1 species
GAUGAACGCUGGCGGCGUGCCUAAUACAUGCAAGUCGAGCGAAUGGAUUAAGAGCCUGCUCUUAUGAAGUUAGCGGCGGACGGGUGAGUAACACGUGGGUAACCUGCCCAUAAGACUGGGAUAACUCCGGGAAACCGGGGCUAAUACCGGAUAACAUUUUGAACCGCGUGGUUCGAAAUUGAAAGGCGGCUUCGGCUGUCACUUAUGGAUGGACCCGCGUCGCAUUAGCUAGUUGGUGAGGUAACGGCUCACCAAGGCAACGAUGCGUAGCCGACCUGAGAGGGUGAUCGGCCACACUGGGACUGAGACACGGCCCAGACUCCUACGGGAGGCAGCAGUAGGGAACCUUCCGCAAUGGACGAAAGUCUGACGGAGCAACGCCGCGUGAGUGAUGAAGGCUUUCGGGUCGUAAAACUCUGUUGUUAGGGAAGAACAAGUGCUAGUUGAAUAAGCUGGCACCUUGACGGUACCUAACCAGAAAGCCACGGCUAACUACGUGCCAGUCGCCGCCGUAA